rnacentral:rRNA from 1 species
UACGAAGGGGGCUAGCGUUGCUCGGAAUCACUGGGCGUAAAGCGCACGUAGGCGGACUCUUAAGUCGGGGGUGAAAUCCUGGAGCUCAACUCCAGAACUGCCUUCGAUACUGGGAGCCUUCGAGUUCGGGAGAGGUGAGUGGAACUGCGAGUGUAGAGGUGAAAUUCGUAGAUAUUCGCAAGAACACCAGUGGCGAAGGCGGCUCACUGGCCCGGUACUGACGCUGAGGUGCGAAAGCGUGGGGAGCAAACAGG